GCCAGCAGCUAUAUCUUCCUGCAACUCACACCUGGCAGCCCCCUGAAGCCCAGCAGGUGUGAGCCUGGGCAGUACCUGGAUGGGAGACCUCCUGGGGAAAAACUAAGGUUGCUGCUGGAA
rnacentral:rRNA from 1 species